UGAAACGGCUUUCCCAGGCAGCCCUGGUGGGUACAAGAGGCAAGGGCAUUUGGACUCACCUAACUGGCUCCACCUCCCUGGAAGGAGAUGUGCUAAGGUGUGCACAGGGACGUGCACUGGCCCACCGCUCCCUGUGUGGCCCGGAGGUCUGCCCGUCUGACCAAGAGUAGCAGGUGACAGGCUCCUAAUGGGCCUUUGAGACCCCAACACUCAGAGCCCAUCAUGUAAGCAGCCUGACCUGGGGUGGGGUGGGGGUGGGGAGGGUGUUCCCUGCUCCCCUUCCCCCACAGACUGCAGCAGGAACCGAGGCCCGCGGCCUUCUGAAGCCUCCGUCACAAAGCGCGGUGGUCGGUCACCGGUUACCACAUAAGCCAAGCCCUUGAUCUGCUGCGUUUGAGGAAACCCUUUGUUCCUUUCAAGCCUCUAUUCUCUCAGCUGGGGCCGGUGCACAGACCGAAGCAGAAAUGGAGCUGAAAAUAGAAACCGUCAAAACAACAAGCCAUUCCAGCUCUAAGUGCCAUAGUAAACAAAUGGUCCAAUGUUGCUCCGAUGGUUUAAUUGCAGCAGUUCCAGACAAGCCCAUUCAUGAGGGAUCAUCAGUUGAUGGAGAGGAGGAAUGAGUCCCUGGGUGAAGGGGUGGCUGGUGGCGGGCCUCGGGGUGGGGCAGGUCUGUACCAGCAGCCAACGCUCUGGUUGUCUUGCUCUGGCCCCUUUGGCUUUGGGGAUCAAGAUGGUGGAUAUUUUGACGAGGAGGAUGAAGAGAGGCCUCUCUGGGGAGAUAACAUUAAAGCCCCACCUGAAGACUAAUAGAAUGCCAAGUUCACAGCCGGGGGAACAGUCCCAGGUAGACAGAACAGCAGAUUCAAAGGGUCUGAGGUGAGAGAGCUUGGCUGGUUCCCAAAGCAGUUGGAGGUCAGGAAAAUGAGAUGAGAUCAGAAGGGCAGGAAGGAGCUGGAUCCUACAGGGGUUUGUAGGCUAGGGUUAGGAACGUGGAGGCUACUAGAAGGUUUUAAGCAGUGAGUGACGUAAUGUAAUUCCAUAUUAAAAGAUCCUGGGUGCUCUAAGUACAAUAGACUGUUGGGGGCAUGAGCAGAAGCUGGAAGGCCAGUAGGAGACUGCAGUAUAAGAAGUGGUGGCGGCUUGGAUCUACAUGGUAACAGUGGAUCCAUCUGUUCACCUGUCCCUUCAUUCUGCCCUCCCUUCCUCCAACCACUUAUUAACCAAACACUUAUUAAGUGUCUAUGGGGAGUCAAGCACGAUGCUGGGAUUAUAUGGAUGAAUUAAAUGUGGUUUCCAACCACAAAGAGCUCAUAGAAUGGCAGGUCCAUCCAUGACACUGCAAUGUAACGGUACAAAUGCGCCAGUAUAAGGUACCCCGCGAGCUCAAGGGAGGUGGUUCACUGAGCCUGGGACAUUGGAAAAGGCCUCAUGGAGAUGUUGAUGUCUGAGAUGUUGGAAGGUCACCGAGGAGCUGGACAGGCAGCAGGGGCGUCUUGAGUCAGGGUAAGGAGGUGCAUGGGUGAGUGUGGAGUCCUGUGAAGAUGUGGCUUUCCAGGUUGGUGGCAUCAACAAACAGGUGUGUGGAGGGACACCACGGGAAAGGGGUCUGGGCCAGCUUGGGGAGGGGUGGGACACACGCCUGUGACUUCCUGCUCAACUCCCGCCCCUACCGAGUGGGGUAAUUUAAUUAAGUACCAGCCCUUAAACAAGACGCAGCUGUUUAGCAGAUGUUGCCUUCCACCCCAGAUGGAGGCACAUCUUGGCGACGGGCACCGUGUUUCCAGGGCGCCUAAUUUGUAAGGCUGCGGAGAGGAAAGAAAUUCAAGAUGCGGCCAUUAUUAUUUAAUGGCCAUCAUUCAUUACGCACACCCCUCCCCCCAGCCCCACUACCACAUGGCCACCAUGCCUGUUGGCUGGGACUAGAGACAGAGGCAGGCACGAGGAGUGUGAUCUGCUGGUUCUCACUCGGAGAACAAGGGAAGAAAAGCAGAUGAGAAGGUCACCAAUCUGCGGGACCCCAAGAACGCUUAAGAGAGUGGCAAGUGACUUAUUUGUCCCCCGGUUUUUAAGAAAGGGGCACAAACCAUAACCAUGAUCUGUUGAACUCUAACUCAGGAGCCAGGCUCUGUGCCAAGUGCCACACAUACCUUGACUCUGCCCCUCUGAUCCUCCCAACAGUCAUGCUCAGUCCUGCCUCAGGGCCUUUGCCCUUGCUUUCUCCCCUGGCUGGAAAUACUCUUCUUUCAGAUGCCCCCAGGGCUAAUUCCCCCAAGACCUUCAGGCCUCACAGUAAAAUGUUGCCUCCCCACAGAGUCCUUCCCUGACUAGCCUACACAAAAGGCACCCUUCUCCAUCAUUCUCCAGCCCCUUACCUUACUUGCUCCCUUUUCCUUUUCCUUCAUCAUCAUAUAUACAUCCUGUGUCUGUUUCUCUCCUCUAGACUUUAAGCUUCCCAAGGGCAAGGAUUUUUGUCUGUUUUAUUCAUUGCCAGCUCUCCAACAUACAGAAGAAUGCCUGACUCAAGACAGAAUCCUAUAAAUAUUUGUUCAAUGGGUGGAUGAAUGAUCAAUGGAUCUCACUGAACAUAUAAAAAGAUUCUCAGGGAGAUAAAAUUACUCUCCCAAGAGUUACACAGCCGGCAAAGGGAAUUACUGGGCCAAAGUGGAGCUGUGGUUGGCUCCUGUGUACUUCUCUGGGCUCUUCAAAUGAUGACAGUGAACCCAUGUUGUAUAAGGUAAUGGAAAGAAGGCCAUCCACCAGGCACCCUGGUGGUGAAUGAAGUAAUUGUCUGCGUUUGAAAGGAAUAACUCUUUAAACCACUUGUGGUGGGACCCCAGGGAUGGGCUCUGGUAAGUAAAGGUGUUGCUACAAGCAAGCUGGCCCCUGUUAACAGGAGGCUCCUGGGGGCAGCAAAAAAAAUAAAUUAAUAAAUUAAAUUAAAUUUAAAAAAUCAGGGAUUGGUCUUGCUUGACAAGAUGGUGGCUCAAAUCGAGAAAAUGCCAGAAUUGCCUGGGGACCAUUUACUACACCCAGUGCCCAGCACCCCCACAACAGACCAUGUGGUUCCAAAUCUUUGGAAGUGGGGAGACAAGAAGGCAUCAAACGUUUCUAAGUGUCCUCAGAUGACUCCAGUAUGCCAAUAGGCAGCUGGUAAGUGGAGCUGAACUGAUGUCUUGUCAAACCAGAGGGGAGGGGAAGAGAGAAGUUGUGGGUGGUGGUGGUGGAGAGGGAAGGGCGAGAGGAAGUCCUCUGGGGAUGUGUCAGGGAAAAGGAGCUUCAGAGAAAACACUCUGCUUUUUGUUUUUGUUUUUGAUUUUUUAAAGGAACUUUUCAAACUACAGAAAAGUGGAGAGAAAUCGUACAAUGACCCCAUUACCUGCUACCAGCCUCAUCAGUCAGCAACAUUGAGUCCCUCCUGUGGGAGGGGGUUUAAGGUGUCUGCUGCAGGGAGGUGGUGUGCCCCGGCUUCCCCAGGAACCUCCUAGAAAGCCCACACUGCUCAUCAGUGAUUCCGUGACAGCAGAUUCUUGGCUAGAACACAGAACUCCAGCACCGAGUUCUUGGGGUGGAACGUGAUUUGACAGGACAGCCAACAGCUGGGACACAGGACUUUUGUAUUAAGGGGGGAAAAAAGUUAUAUUUAAAAAGAAAUUGCCAGUUAUUUGUACUAAUCCCUCCUUGACUUGUCGCCUUGGUUCUCUUGUUUCAGGAUAGGGCCUUGGGGCUUACCCCUAAAAGGAUCAAGGAGGCGAGUGACCAGCCUGGGAACACCCAAAGGGUGACAGCUGGGCCAGGAUGUCUCCAGAGUCUUCCUUUGUGUGUUCCUUUGUUCUUCCGACAGAUUUACAGAGCCCCUGCUUCAUGCCAAGUGUCGUGUCUAAGUUGUGGGUUCACAAUGAUAAAUGUGGUAGAUGAUAGCUCUUCCCUACACGCAGCUCACACAGUCAGGUGCAGGAGGUGGAUGGCAAAUAAAAAUGUCUUAAAAUGGAAGGUAUAUACCUUACUCUUUGCUGGCUGGGAUUUGAAAUGUGAUGACAGGAUCUCAAACAGCCAUCUUGAACCAUGCAAUGAAUUAAAGAUGACUACUGAUUCUUUGGUCCUUCUUCCUUCCUUCAAGAGGAAGAGUUUCUUUGGAAGAGUCUACUUCCUCUCCUCUGAAAUCUGGACUGGCCUGUGAUCUAUUGAACCAACAGAGUAUAGUGGACAUGAUGCUCUGCCAGUUCUGGACCUUGCCCUUAAGAACACUGGAGCUUCUGCCAUGGUCUCUUGGACCCAUGGCUGCCAUGGAAAAGGUCAAACCACUCUGCUGGAGAGACCAUCCAGAGAAGCUCUGACACUUCAUGGAAAGGAAUAGGGACCCAGCUGAGCACAGCAUUGUGGUCUUUCCAGUAAAACCAUCUUGAUCCUCCAGAUGAGUCCAACCAUCAGCUGAACAUUACCAAGUGACUAGUCGAUGCCCAUGGAUCAGAAAGAUCACCCAGCUGAGCCCUGGCCAACUUUCAGAUCUGCGCAAUUUUAGAAAAUAAUAAAAGGAUUAUUGUUUGGGGUUAUUUGUCGUGUACCAAUGAAUAACCAGAACAGACCAUGAGAUAGAAGGUAUUUGUUGAGGAUGGUGUAAGAACUACACCAUCUGGAAGUCUGGCCACCCUCAGAUUUUUUGUCCUACAAGAAAAGUAAACUCUGUUUAAACUUU